rnacentral:rRNA from 1 species
UAAUACCUCCUGGAGGACCGAAGCCGUGAACGUUGAAAAGUUCUGGCAUGACCUGUGGGGAGGAGUUAAAGUCUAAUCAUAACUGGAGAUAUCUCGUUCUCCUCGAAAUAGUUUUUGGACUAGCCUCACGUAAUAGCGUAUGGGGGUAGAGCGACUGGAUGGGGCUGGGGGGCCACAAGCCUACCCACUCCAACCAAACUCCGAAUACCAUGCGCCGUAUCGUGGGAGUAAGACUAUGGGUGAUAAUAUCCGUGGUCAAAAGGGAAACAACCCAGAUCACCAGCUAAGGUCCCUAAACACCUCUGAGUUCUAAAGGUAGUUGGAUUGCCGUGACAGCCAGGAUGUUGGCUUAGAAGCAGCCACCAUUUAAAAAGUGCGUAACAGCUUACUGGUCGAGCAAUUCUGCGCCAAUAAUGAACGGGAGUAAGCAUGACCCCGAAGCCGCGGACUCAGCUUUGCUGAGUGGUAGGAGAGCGCUGUACGUCAGAUACAAGCCGUACUGGAAAGAACGGUGUCGGGGCGUACAGGUGAUUAUGCCGGAAUGAGUAACGAUAAAGCAGGUGAGAAUCCUGCUCGCCGAAAGCCUAAGGUUUCCUGGGGAAGGUAAUUCCGCCCAGGGUUAGCCGGUCCCUUAGUCGAGGCCGAAAGGCGUAGACGAUGGAUAGCAGGUCAAUAUUCCUGCGCUAGGUGUGUGGAGCGAUGGAGGGACGGCAUCCGAAAAGCAUGCGGACGAUUAGAAAUGUCCGUUGCUCCGGUCUGAGAAUACAGGUAGGCAAAUCCGCCUCAUAAACGUUCCAGGACCGGAGCUAACAGCGUUCAAGUUCUGGAUGAUGUUGGAAGGAUGUCCAAGAAAAGCUUCUAAGCUUUGAAGCACACUUAACCGUACUAAAACUGACACAGGUAGGUGAGACGAGUAGUCUAAGGCGCUCGGGAGAACGGUGGUUAAGGAACUCUGCAAAAUGGCCCCGUAAGUUCGCGAUAAGGGGCGCCCACGAGAGUGGGCCACAGAAAAUCGGCUCUAGCGACUGUUUAUCAAAAACACAGGUCUCUGCUAACACGCAAGUGGAUGUAUAGAGACUGACGCCUGCCCGGUGCCGGUAGGUUAAGGAAGAGGGUUAGCCUUACGGCGAAGCUCGCGACCGAAGCCCCGGUAAACGGCGGCCCUAACUAUGAGGGUCCUAAGGUAGCGAAGUUCCUUGUCGGGUAAGUUCCGACCUGCAUGAAAGGCGUAACGACUGAUGCACUG